AGAAAUGUUAAACACGUGAUGAUUUUUAAGAUGUGAAAACAAAUUAAAUAGUGCAGACUACUACAAAAUUUUCAGACCAUCGUCUGUGAUGAAGACAGAUAAUUAUAACAGUAAUAAUGAUACCUAGUAUUUAUUGACUGGUUCCUGUAUGCCUAGUAUUUUGUCUUUUUAUUGAACUAUGUUUUAUAUGGGGAAAAUCACAUGUAUCGUAAGUAUUCAGCUUGAGACCUUUAGCAGAUGCAGACCAAGAGCCUGAUCGUUAUCACCCCCUGUGUGUUUACCAUUCUUGUUUACUAUGAAUUGUGUUAUUAUAAAUAUUUUUUAGUAUGUCUCUUAUGGUGACUAUAUAUAUAGUCGUAAAUAUGUUCUUCCAUGUUUUCCUCUAGAAGCUUUUACUGGUUUUUCUUUCAUAUUUAGAUAAUGCAAUUCAUCGGGAAUUUAUUUUUUAGGAUGGCGAAGUGUGAAGGCUAGAUAGAUUUUUCCUGUAUGGAAGUUCAAUCGAUUAAGCACCAUUUAUUGCAAAUAUCAAGUGAUACAUUAAGAUUUUUAAAGAAAUUACAGAAAAUUGACACCUGUGUUUAUACAAAAGAUUAGCUAUGGGUGGAUGAUCGUGCAAAAAGUUCAGCUUAAAGUAGCUCAGUUAUUUUAGACUCAAUCACAUUGCCAGUGAAGGUGGAAACAGUUUGAAGGCAGAAACAAUGAGACUUGGAAUUUCAACAGUUUUUGUUUGUUUUUGUUUUUUUUUUUGGGGGGGGGGCUGCACUCGCUGCAUAUGGAAAUUCCCAGGCCAGGGGUCUAAUUGGAGCUCUAGCUGCCGGCCUACACCACAGCCACAGCAACGCAGGAGCUGAGCCACAUCCGCGACCUACACCACAACUCAUGGCAACGCGGGAUCCUUAACCCACUUUGUGAGGUCAGGAAUCGAACAUGCAUCCUCAUGGUUCCUAAUUGGGUUCAUUAGCCACUGAGCCAUGAAGGGAGCUCCCUGAAUGGAUUUUUAAUCACAAUUUCUGUUUUCUCUAUCAUUCUCUUUCUCCCUCUCUCCUUUCUUUCUGGGUGUUGGCCUUAUUAUUCCUUACUUUGAAAAUGGUCCAGAAUUUACAUGUCAGAAGCUCUAUUACCUGUGCUGAUCAUUCAUUUUGUAUUUUUGUAUACAUUCUUUCAGUCGGAAUAGUACAAGUGGGAUUCCAUUGGAAAGGAAACUUUUUUGACUACACCCAUGGCAUGCUGAUUUUCCUGGUCCAAGGAUCAAACCUGAGCCAUGGGAGUAACCAGAGCCACAACAGUGACAAUGCCAAAUUCUUAACCGGCUGAGCCACCAGGGGGCUCCCUGGAGAAGAAAUGUGAAUAAUUCAGUGAGAUUCUGUGCCCAAAACUCCGUAUUUGCUCAUGGGAUUUUUUUUUUUUUCCUUAUUCAGUUUUGUUGUGGAAAAAUACACAUAUAUAAAUUGAAUCCAUGUAAAUCGUCCAGUGAAUUUUUGCAGUUGUAAUUUCAACGAAUCGAACCACUGCCACAGUCAUGGUACAGAGCACUUGCGUCACCCCCAAAAGUUUCUUUGUGUCACUUUAUAGUCUCUCCAUCCCCCAAACUUUUAGUCAUUAUACAUAACUUUAUAUUUGCAUAAGACCUGCACUCUUGUAUAUCAUUCUUCUCACUGCACAUGUUUCUAAGAUGCACUCAAUUUUUUGUCUCCUUUCUUCUCUCUCUCUGUUCCUUUCCUCUUCUUUCUUUCUUUCUUUCCUUUAUUAUUGUUGUUUCUGAGAGAACAGAUCAUAUGUUAGUCUGUCCAUUAAUUGAAUGACCUUUGUGGUGUUGAGUGUUUUGGUUUUAAAGACAAAGCUUCUAUGAGCAUCAUGUACAAGACUUUGUAUGGAUGUACAUUUUCAUUUCUCUUUGGUAAAUAUGGGUCAUAUUGGGACUGUAUGCUUAACUCUUUAAAGUGACUUCAAAAGAGUUUUAAAAUGUGAUUUUACCAUUUUGUAUUUCUGCCAAACCUUAAGGAGAGCUCUUUUCAGUAUUCUUGCCAACACUUGGUACCAUCAGUCCUUUUAGCUUUAGCCCUUUCAAUAUGGUGGCAUACCACUUUGGUUUUAAUUUGUAUUUUCCUGAUGCUUAAUGAUGCGAAACAUCUUGUUUUGUCCUUAUUGUCCAAUCAUUUAUCAUUUGUGGAGUGUCUGUAUGGAAGGAAAUUAUCUAUUUCCUCUGCCCUCUAAAUUCUCAGUGGGAGGCUCAUGUAAUGUGACAAUUUAACAAAGGAAAAGCAAAGCGUGUGCCUUUAUUUAAUAUUAGUUUUACAUGACACUGGAGCCUUCAUAAGGAGAUGAAAACUCAAGAGAAGCCGUUAAACCUGAGUGUUUCAGUGCUAAGUUUGCUGAAGAGUAGAGGAUCCUGGAAAAAGGCAAUAGGAUGGAAAGGGUAUGAGCUAAGUGUAGUGAAGUGGAGGAAGCAGCAAGUCCUGUUCGCAUUCCUCUAGGUGUCUUGGAGAUAAGGAUGUUCCUUUCCACUGGGUACAGGGAGGGUGUAUUUCACAUGAGUGUUUUGUGACCUUCAGAGGACGGUCAGAAAUCCUGUACACACAGUUUCUCAGAUUCCUUCAGCCUAAAAUAUUCAGUAUGCUAAAGUGCCAUGUUUUGGAAUAGUACAUCCCAAACCUUUUCAUCUAUUUAAAUCAUUUGCCUAAGAUUGUGUUUUGAUUAACUCUGGAUAAGAGACCUCUGUCAGAAAUGUUUUAAAAAUAGUUCUUUGUUACUUGCCCUUUAAUCUUUUUUAAUGGUGUCUGUUGAAGAGAGAUAAUCAAAAAUUUUUUAUUUUAAUUCCAAAUUGUACUUAAUAUAGCCCAUGUUUUUAAAAAAAUUACCGAUUCUGCAUUUAUAAAGCUUUUCUUCAGUGUAUUCUUUUAGAAAGUUUAUAAUGUUAUCUUUUAUAUCUAGGUCUAUGAUCAAUUUUUUGUUAAUUUUGAGAGUGUCCCGGGUGAAGUAAAGGCCAGGAUGGUUACUUUUUAUUCCACGUGAAUAUCCAGUUCUUCUCUUCAGAGUUUGCUGGAAAAAGAUUUCUUUCUCUAAAGGGUUACCAUGACAACUUUGAUAAAAACAAAAUUCUAUUGACUGUACAAUUUGGAGAAAAUUGAUGUCUUAAUAUGGACUCUUUCAAUUCAUUAAUCUUAAAUCAUUUGAAAUAGCUAAAUUCACUUAUUAAUUUUAGUAGUUUUAUGGAGUUCUUGGUAUAUUCCAUGUAAACAGUCAUGCCAUUUACAAAUAAAAGUAGUUUCCUUUCCUAUCUUUGUGAUGUUUCUUUUUGUUGACUUACUGAAAGGACUUAGAAUUCCAGAAAAUUAUUGAAUGAAGAUUAGGAAAUUAGAUCUUUUUCUCUUGUUUCCAAUAUUAUUGAAAAACAUUUAAUGUUAACUCUGAUGUUAGCUUUGAAAUUUUUUGUAUACGUCUAUCCAAUAGAGUAAGUUCCUUCUAUUUCUGGAAGUUCGUAUUUUCAGUGGGUGUCAUAUGUUACAUGUCAAAGGCUUUUUCUGCGCUGUUGUCAUGAUUCUCUGGUUAUUCUGUUAGUAUGUUUAAUUAUUUUAAUUGAUUUUCAACUAUUAUUCCAACUUUGCUUUUCUGGAACAAAUUCUGUUUAAUCCUAAUAUGCUAUUCUCUUAAUAUAUCAUUAAAUUUAGUUAACUAGUAUUUUCUUAAAAGAUUUUUACAUGUGUUCUUGAAUAAUAUUAGUCUCUGUAUAAGAAUGUUUAUGUUAAGUUUUAGAUAUCAGUAUUAUGCUGGCUUUAUCAAAUGAAUUUAGAAGGUUCUUCUCUAUAUUCUGAAUGUUUAUGUAUAAUACUGGGAUUAUUUAUCCUUAUAUGUUUGAUGGAAUUCACCAAUAAAAGUGUCCAAGGCUAGCAUUCUCUUGGGUAAUAUUUUUUACAGCAAAAUUAAUUUCUUCAGUACAAUAAGGCUAUUUAGAUUUUCUGUUUCAUCUUGUAUCAGUUUUAUAUGUUGAAUUUUUAAAAGAAUUUGUCUGCUUCAUCUCAGUUGUCAAAUGUGACAUAAUUUUAUUUAAAUAUUGUCUUACUAAUUUUUUUUUGGUCACACCUGUGACACGCAGAACUCUCUGGGGCUGAAUUCAGACCUGAGCCACAGCAGUGAGAACUGCUGAAUCCUUAACUGUCGGCCACUAGGAAACUCUGAUCUUGUUAAUAUUUUAAUUUUAAGAAAUCUGUAGGGGUAACUUCAUCACUCUUGAUUGGUAUAGGGUUAUUUUCAUUGGAUUGAUCUUUUCAAAAUAUCAGAACAUGGUUCAAGAGUCAAGGAGUGACUGGGCAGAGUUUACACACAGAAUCUGGAGUCCUGUUCUCUGUUAGUUUGUCUCCUUUCUGGGAUUCUCUACUCUUUCCAAAAGAUAAUACAUUUUAAAAUAUGGAUUUAAAAAAAUUAUCCAGAAUUACAGUUGUUAUCUGUAGGGAGUUUAUCUCUCUGGGAAUUUAUUCUGCCAUAUAGGAAGCAAAACUCCCAAGAGAAGAUUUUGAAAAUGCCAACAGAAGAAGACUGGAGGUAGUAUCUGUUGAACGCCUAUUGUGUACAGAUCUACAAUUUUUACUUUAUGCUGUGUGGUCGGUGCAGUGUUGCUGCUUUUGGUGUCCUUUUAUUAUUAAUAAAGAAAAAUGAGGAUCAGUGUUAUGGUAAAACACCCUAAAUUUCAAAUUAAGGAAAGUAACAGGGUCUGUCACUGUUACAGGAUCAUAAAACUAUAGAUUCUAUAUAUUUUUUGGUGAAUCAUGUGACUUUUUUUUAGGCUGUUACCACAAGAAUGAAAGUUCCUAAUAGGAGAGCUGAACUACAUGUAAAUAAAAGUAAUAUUGGUCAAUGUUUAUAAACUCCAUAAUAUUAGUAUAGAUAAUGUUCCAUAUUGCAGAAAUAAAGUAUUGCCUUUGGCUAUGGACAUUGAAGGAUUUUUGGCUUUUUGCCUCCAUUCUAACAAUAUCAGAUACCGUGCCUCUCUGUCAAAUAUAUAUUAUGAUAUUGAUCCUUAAUUGAUCAUUUUCUGAAUGGCUGAUUCAAUUAAAGAAUAUUAACUUAGGAAACAAAUAAUUUUAAAAAUCCAUUCAAAAUUACUAAUUUAUUAUUUACUAUAUGUCAUAUAGACUUAUAAUUUCUGUUAUUAUAAAACAGAGAAAAUAGGUACAGUCAUUGUUUGUUUAUAGAGUUUGCUGUUUAAUUAGUAAAUCAACAUUAAAAGAAAAAUUAGGGCGUUCUCCAGCAGGUGAAGGAUCCAGUGUUGUCACCGCAGUGGCUUGAGUCACUGCUGUGGCAAGGAUUCAGUCCCUGGCCUGGGAACUUCACUCCUGCAGGUGUGGCCCCCCCAUUUUUUUUUUAAUUCAACCAUAAAAAUACAAACAGAGCAACAAGGAUUUGCUGGAUGGCACAGGGAAUUAUAUUCAGUAUCUUAUGAUAGCCUGUAAUGGAAAACAAUCUGAAAAAAUAUGUAUAACUGAAUAAUUUUGCUGUACACCUGCAAGUAACACAGUAUUGUAAUUCAACUUCAAUAAGAAACACAAAUAGAAUUGCAGAGUACACUGCAUUCCCUAAAAGAGUAUCUUCAGAUUAUGUAAAAGUGGAUAAUCUUGCUUCAAAGGAGGAGUCAAAAAUAAUGUAUUCUGCCCUCCAGCUUGUUGACGCUAC
rnacentral:lncRNA from 1 species